GAUGAACGCUGGCGGCGUGCCUAAUACAUGCAAGUCGAGCGAACAUACGAGGAGCUUUCUCCUCUGACGUUAGCGGCGGACGGGUGAGUAACACGUGGAUAACCUACCUAUAAGACUGGGAUAACUUCGGGAAACCGGAGCUAAUACCGGAUAAUAUAUUGAACCGCAUGGUUCAAUAGUGAAAGACGGUUUUGCUGUCACUUAUAGAUGGAUCCGCGCCGCAUUAGCUAGUUGGUAAGGUAACGGCUUACCAAGGCAACGAUGCGUAGCCGACCUGAGAGGGUGAUCGGCCAGACUGGAACUGAGACACGGUCCAGACACCUACGGGAGGCAGCAGUAGGGAAUCUUCCGCAAUGGGCGAGAGCUUGACGGAGCAAAGCCGCGUGAGUGAUGAAGGUCUUCGGAUCGUAAAACUCUGUUAGUAGGGAAGAACAAAUGUGUAAGUAACUAUGCACGUAUUGACGGUACCUAAUCAGAAAGCCACGGCUAACUACGUG
rnacentral:rRNA from 1 species